AAAAUGUGUAAAUAUUAAGUAACAACCUUUUUCAACAUGACAUUUCUGAUUAAAUACCAAGUAUACUUUGGUACGUCUAAAGGGAGCACUUGUUAACGGUCUGUAUGUGACUCUAACCCUAGGUAGUGCAGUUAAAGUCCUGUCUCAGCCGGGGAACACAGUCGAGUUUCCAUGUGACUACAGCUAUGAAGACCAUCAGGACAUCCCACAGCUGUCUGUCCAGUGGAGAGGCCCGAGCAACACGCUCCUCUGUCACUACAUCAAACACAAGGCCUUCCAGAACUGCACCCAGGGCUAUUCACUGGACUACACGCCUAGGAAGAUCACUCUGAGCAUCACAGAGGUCAGAACGCAAGACUUCGGAUCUCACGUCUGCUCCGUUAGCAAGAGACACGAGUUCACGGACUUUAGCAUCGAGCUAGCCAUGAAGACGGGUCUUCCUGAGGGACAUCUUGUUGUCCUUGUCUGCUCUGUGUUGGUCAGCACCUGGGGAUGAACAGUAAAAAUACUGGGAAAAUAAAGAACAGAUUGAGA
ensembl:lncRNA